UGGUGGAGUGAUUUGUCUGAUUAAUUUCGAUAACGAACGAGACCUUAACCUGCUAACUAGUCGCCCUAUGCACAAUGGGGUUGACUUCUUAGAGGGACUUUGUGUUUAAGCACAAGGAAGUUUGAGGCAAUAACA
rnacentral:rRNA from 1 species